rnacentral:misc_RNA from 1 species
UACAGAGACCUCAAACGUUAUUCGGAAUUACUGGGCUUAAAGGGUACGUAGGCGGCGCUGUUAGUCGGGUGUGAAAGCCCUCGGCUCAACCGAGGAAUUGCGCCCGAUACUGCAGUGCUCGAGGGAGACAGAGGUAAGCGGAACUGAUGGUGGAGCGGUGAAAUGCGUUGAUAUCAUCAGGAACACCAGUGGCGAAAGCGGCUUACUGGGUCUCUUCUGACGCUGAGGUACGAAAGCUAGGGGAGCGAAGGGG